rnacentral:rRNA from 1 species
GCCAGACUCCUACGGGAGGCAGCAGUGGGGAAUAUUGGACAAUGGGGGGAACCCUGAUCCAGCGACGCCGCGUGAGUGAAGAAGUAUUUCGGUAUGUAAAGCUCUAUCAGCAGGGAAGAUAAUGACGGUACCUGACUAAGAAGCCCCGGCUAACUACGUGCCAGCAGCCGCGGUAAUACGUAGGGGGCAAGCGUUAUCCGGAUUUACUGGGUGUAAAGGGUGCGCAGGUGGCAGGGCAAGUCAGAUGUGAAAGCCCGGGGCUCAACCCCGGGAUUGCAUUUGAAACUGUCCGGCUAGAGUGCAGGAGAGGUAAGCGGAAUUCCUAGUGUAGCGGUGAAAUGCGUAGAUAUUAGGAGGAACACCAGUGGCGAAGGCGGCCUGCUGGGCUUUAACUGACGCUGAGGCUCGAAAGCGUGGGUAGCAAACAGGAUUAGAUACCCGCGUAC